rnacentral:rRNA from 1 species
UACGUAGGGGGCAAGCGUUGUCCGGAUUUAUUGGGCGUAAAGAGCGUGUAGGCGGCUUUACAGGUCCGUUGUGAAAACUCGAGGCUCAACCUCGAGACGCCGGUGGAAACCGUAAAGCUAGAGUCCGGAAGAGGAGAGUGGAAUUCCUGGUGUAGCGGUGAAAUGCGCAGAUAUCAGGAAGAACACCCGUGGCGAAGGCGGAUCUCUGGGCCGAAAUUGACGCUGAGGAGCGAAAGCGUGGGGAGCAAACAGG